UGGGGAAUAUUGCACAAUGGGCGCAAGCCUGAUGCAGCAACGCCGCGUGAGUGAUGAAGGCCUUCGGGUCGUAAAACUCUGUCCUAAGGGAAGAAUAAUGACGGUACCUUAGGAGGAAGCCCCGGCAAACUACGUGCCAGCAGCCGCGGUAAUACGUAGGGGGCAAGCAUUAUCCGGAAUCACUGGGCGUAAAGGGUGCGUAGGCGGCUUGACAAGCCAGGGGUGAAAGGCAUUGGCUCAACCAAUGUAAGCCUUUGGAACUGUCGAGCUUGAGUGUAGGAGAGGUAAGUGGAAUUCCUAGUGUAGCGGUGAAAUGCGUAGAUAUUAGGAGGAACACCAGUGGCGAAGGCGACUUACUGGACUAUAACUGACGCUGAGGCACGAAAGCGUGGGGAGCAAA
rnacentral:rRNA from 1 species